rnacentral:rRNA from 1 species
UACGGGGGGGGCAAGCGUUGUUCGGAAUUACUGGGCGUAAAGGGCUCGUAGGCGGCCAACUAAGUCAGACGUGAAAUCCCUCGGCUUAACCGGGGAACUGCGUCUGAUACUGGAUGGCUUGAAUCCGGGAGAGGGAUGCGGAAUUCCAGGUGUAGCGGUGAAAUGCGUAGAUAUUGGGAGGAACACCAGUGGCGAAGGCGGCUACCUGGACCGGUUCUGACGCUGAUGCGCGAAAGCGUGGGGAGCAAACAGG